UGAGACUGACAAUAUUUCUAUUUUCAGUGGUGUUCCUGUAGCGGUGCAGAAAAGUGCACUCACUGAGGACAAAAGGACACAAAUAAAGAUAUUGUGAAGAGUGAAUACUGAGAGCACGAUGCAGCUGUUGCAGUAAAAAUAGUGUCAAAAAAAAUCAUGUAGCUAUUUCUCAAUGGAUGCAGCAGGACUAAGUUUAAAAAAACAAUCAGUACCUAUGAGUGACCCAAUUGACAAACGUCCGUCCAUCAUUGCCAAUGUCAAGGUACAGUGCUUCUCUCCCAGCACGACAGAUCCCAGCUAUGUGCAACAGGGAAAGCAGGAGAGAAUGGAAAUAACAGUGGCAUCUCUUACAAGUACCAUGUGGGUGAUACAGAUUUCAUUGGCCUCUAAACAGAAAUAGAAAUCUGUAGUGAGAGAACAUAAGCUCUUCCAAACGGAAUGAACAUUUGACUCUGGAACAGUAUGGGCAGUUACUGAGAAUACACUUCGAUUUUGUCACAUAGAAGAACAUGGCUCAACUUGCUACAGAAGGACUUGGUUGUGUUGUUGCAGUGGGACCCCUGGCUUAUGAGCAGUGUUGUAAUGAGGAGGAAAGCCUGUAAGGCACCAACACAUGCUCAGAACAAGUUACCUCUGCCAUGUUGCGUUUUAAGUCUAUAUUUAAAGAGAACAUUGAUAUAUGUUUAUUAUAAAUACUCUGAUCUGUGUUCUUUUACACUUCUCCUUCAGCAGUGUUGCAGAUCACAAUGUCUUAACAGCAGGUUGCUGUCUAUCUACAUGAAGCCCAAUGGAAUACAUGAUGAGCAGAUGUAUAUUGCCAUUCUGCAGUGAGCUACAGAUUGCCACCAGGCACAAAAAGGUGGUGAACAGGAAAAGGAGGAACCAAAGCAAAGAUGGGGACAAAAUAUGCUGGAGGAAGGAACAGAGAUGAUUGAAAAGAAGCCCAAAGAUAAUGCAGAGACAGCCUGAAGAAGGAGGCAAUGUAGUACAGUCCAUCAGGAAAGGUAAGUGAGCGUCGAUGAUCCAGAACUAUGCUUCUCCAAAACCCUUUUACUCCUUUAUUCCUUAAUUAUGCUUCACAAAUUAGUAGGUGACAGUAAGAAAUUAUAGGGGAUAAAUGAAGAAUCUUGGCAGUGCUUCAGGAUAAUGACUUGUUUUACGGCAGUUUUGAGUGAGAGAACGGUGCUGUCAUACCUCUGAGCUUUUCCUCAUGUUUAUUUUUUUUCCAGUUUACUUUUCUGUAGCAUUUUUCUGCUUAACAUUAGUCAUUUUAUUCAAAUGUUUUUCAUGACGAGGAGGCUCUUCAUCUACUCAGGUAUAGACUCUGCUGCAUCUUCAGUAUUGUUGUCUGCUGCUUUUAUCAAGGUGGUGUCAUUCAGGCAUUGUGAAUUGAGCCUUAUGGAAACUACCUUUAUAGAAACCCAGCGUAAGUCUUCUUUGAGAAGAGUCAUUCCAACAGAAGAGGUUGUGGACAGGAAUUCUCAGGGUAGUUUCCAGGUAGCUUCUGCCACCAACAAACCUCCCAGCCAUAAGGACUUAGAUGUGCAUUGCCACAAUGUGAAUGGCAUCACAGAUGAGAUGUUUAUCACUAUUGCUGACAGCCUACAUAUUUGGGUAAAGUUACAUCAAAAGAAUGUAACAUUGUGGUUAUGGAUAAUUAGCAAGAAAGCAGAAAUAUGUGAAAACAUUAAGGAGGCUCAAUGCCUAAUAUUUGUAAGUAAUCAAGAAGCAAAUGCAAUAAGAAAUGAUGAUUAUUUGGAAAACUAAACUAUGUAAAUACCAAGUGUAUGCUAUCACCAUACAACUGCUGACCAGAAAAACAGUUACAGAGAAGCUGUAGCCCUGAGCAGAGGUAAAAGUGGUGCUGGUUUCAUUUCAUGAAACACUUCCUCUCUCUAAUUGCUAACACCAGCACAAUGCCGACCCUCAAAACUUACACUGCUUUAUCAGUGCUCUUAUUUGAAGGCAUUGGCCAUGUUCUGUUUCUUUUUUGCCUAUAAUAGGUUA